rnacentral:lncRNA from 1 species
UUUGAUGUAUUAUAUUUUUUAAAUUUGUUUUUAUAUAAAAAUAAUAAUUUAAAAAAAUUAAUACGGGCGAACCGGAUCGGGUUUAGGUUUAGCAUUUUUAAUUUAGGCUGGACUUGGGCAAAAUUUUUGGCCCAUUUUUCAAGUCGAGCCUAGAAAACGGGCCUAAAAUUUUUCAUCGGCUUUACCAUAACCCAACUCAAUCCAAUCCAUGAUUAAGUCUAGGGUCAGUUCAUUAUUGAGGUUCUAAAGUGAUUUUGAAAAGUU